UACGUAGGCGGCGAGCGUUGUCCGGAUUUACUGGGCGUAAAGGGCGUGCAGGCGGUUCGUUAAGUCUAGGGUGAAAGCUCCCGGCUCAACUGGGAGAGGUCCUUGGAUACUGGCGGACUUGAGGAGGGUAGAGGAGAGCGGAAUUCUCGGUGUAGUGGUGAUAUGCGUAGAUAUCGAGAGGAACACCAGUGGCGAAGGCGGCUCUCUGGGCCCUACCUGACGCUGAGACGCGAAAGCGUGGGGAGCGAACCGG
rnacentral:rRNA from 1 species